rnacentral:rRNA from 1 species
GACGAAUGCUGGCGGCGUGCCUAAUACAUGCAAGUCGAGCGGUAAGGCCCUUCGGGGUACACGAGCGGCGGACGGCUGAGUAACACGUAGGAACCUACCCCAAACCGAGGGAUAAGCACCAGAAAUGGUGUCUAAUACCGCAUGUGCUCUACGGAGUAAAGCUUCGGCGGUUUGGGAAGGGCCUGCGUCCGAUUAGCUAGUUGGUGGUAUAAAAGACUACCAAGGCGACGAUCGGUAGCUGGUCUGAGAGGAUGAUCAGCCAGACUGGGACUGAGACACGGCCCAGACUCCUACGGGAGGCAGCAGUAGGGAAUUUUCCACAAUGGGCGAAAGCCUGAUGGAGCAACGCCGCGUGCAGGAUGAAUGCCUUCGGGUUGUAAACUGCUUUUAUCUGUGACGAAUAUGACGGUAGCAGAUGAAUAAGGACCUGCUAACUACGUGCCAGCAGCCGCGGUAAGAC